CGCCGCCACUUCCUCUCGCCGCCCACCUCGCAAGCCCGCCCGUCCGCCCCGCCCCGGUCGGCCCCACCCCUCCUCCUCGUGCGCCCGCCCGCCCCAAACUCCGGCAAACAAAACGCACCAUUCACAACUCUGCGACCUGAGCCGCGCAUGCGCCGCCCACCCGCUUGCGGGGCGGCUGGACUGCAGCGAGCCAGAGGUGCGGCCUUCUCACCCUUGCGGGCCCGCGGUUUCCUCUGUGUGGAACUGCUCUGCGGACAUCUGCCCGGACCUUGGAGAGAGGGAGCCGUUCGCGCGGUUCCUUUCUGUAGACUGUAUGAAACUUUGGGGCUUCUCAGCUGCUUGGAGUGACCCCAGAUUGUCACCUGAACUGUCUCAGACACAGGAAAUGCCAACCAAGAAUAAACCAAGACCUGCAGAUAGAGAUCAAUGGAUCAAUAAAGGAGGUUGAAUAAUUCAA